AACGAACGCUGGCGGCAUGCCUAACACAUGCAAGUCGAACGAGACCUUCGGGUCUAGUGGCGCACGGGUGCGUAACGCGUGGGAACCUGCCCUUAGGUUCGGAAUAACUCCCCGAAAGGGGUGCUAAUACCGGAUAAUGUCUUCGGACCAAAGAUUUAUCGCCUUUGGAUGGGCCCGCGUUGGAUUAGCUAGUUGGUAGGGUAAAAGCCUACCAAGGCGACGAUCCAUAGCUGGUCUGAGAGGAUGAUCAGCCACACUGGGACUGAGACACGGCCCAGACUCCUACGGAAGGCAGCAGUGGGGAAUAUUGGAAGAUGGGCGAAAGCCUGAUCCAGCAAUGCCGCGUGAGUGAUGAAGGCCUUAGGGUUAUAAAGCUCUUUUACCCGGGAUGAUAAUGACAGUACCGGGAGAAUAAGCUCCGGCUAACUCCGUG
rnacentral:rRNA from 1 species